GACGAACGCUGGCGGCGUGCUUAACACAUGCAAGUCGAACGAUGAACCCGGAGCUUGCUCCGGUGGAUUAGUGGCGAACGGGUGAGUAACACGUGAGUAACCUGCCCUUGACUCUGGGAUAACUGCGGGAAACUGUAGCUAAUACCGGAUACGACCCUCGGCGGCAUCGCCAGGGGGUGGAAAGAAUUUCGGUCAAGGAUGGACUCGCGGCCUAUCAGCUAGUUGGUGAGGUAACGGCUCACCAAGGCGACGACGGGUAGCCGGCCUGAGAGGGUGACCGGACACACGGGGACAGAGACACGGCCCAGACCCCUACGGGAGGCAGCAGGGGGGAAUAUUGCACAAUGGGCGAAAGCCUGAGGCAGCAACGCCGGGUGGGGGAUGACGGCCUGCGGGUUGUAAACCUCUUUUAGUAGGGAAAAAGCGAAAGUGACGGUACCUGCAGAAAAAGCACCGGCUAACUACGUGCCAGCCGCCGCCGUAA
rnacentral:rRNA from 1 species